AAAGAACAAAGCUGGAGGCAUCACACUACCUGACUUCAAACUAUACUACAAAGCUACAGUAACCACAAUCUUCAAUCUCAGUGGUUAAUGACCAACUGUUGGCAAAUGUUUUCUGUAAAUUUUAAAGAAGUUUUCUUUUUUUCUCCUCCGGCUUUGAAUUUGAAAUCUUUCAAACACAUAUAACAUUUGAAAGACUGUUAUGUAGUUUCACCAAUUUCUCUUGUGGAAUUUCUCUUCUAAUUCAGGUAUACUCUUUGGAGAUGGCUCAUUCCAGAGCAGGAGGGAUAGAAAGUAAGCCUGCAUUUUUUUUACUUGCCAGAAAGUAAGGAAAUGCUCAAAGACAAAUGGACACAUGUCAAAAGGGCAGAGAGCACAUGCAGGAGAUUGAUUGGAGAGUACUUUUCAUAAGAUCACCUGUAAGGGAGCGAGCAAAGCAGCACUGGCAGAGGAAGUUGAGUUGUGAUGCAGUUCAUCUUGUGCACAUGGAGAGUUCUGGACCUAGGAUGACCCUUCAGAGUGUUCUGAAUUGGGUCAAUUGAGCUGGGCCCUUAUACCCAACAUGGACCAGUCAUUUGAAGUGGGCUUCCCCUAGAGAGGGGACAUACCCUUGGGUGAGGAAGCUCCUUUCAUAGAAGGCAAUUCCUGGAGAGAUGCCAGUUGUGAGCUCCCACAUGCAACAUUCUUACAGCUGGGGAAGAGUGCAUUGGUACUAAAGUAAGUCCUGGACAGUACACCCGAGCAAUCCCUACCAUCGUUCACUAGCUUCAUAGAAUAUAUUCACCCCAUCUGGGAACAGAAGCUCUAGUAUUCUGAUUGGUCUCUUUUUCUGGAAAUACAGAGGAGAGUAUAACCUCAUCCUGGAGCAGGGCACCCUAUCGUCAGAUGGUAUCAUCUUUAAGGGGUUGUCUCAGCCAUGCCUUUAGAAUUACCUUUCAUUGCUUGUCAUGCUGGAAGCUUCUGAAUGUUGCAUUUUGUGAUAGAAACAGUGGGUACCAUGGUCAUGUGCUCACAUCUCCUUUGCGGUAAAGAAAAGGAUCACUCAUUAACAUCCACCAGAUAACAUUCUCCAUGAAAGCACCAAAUAAGGUUUGUCUUGGUCCAUUUUAUGCUGCUAUAACAGAACACCACAGACUGAGAAAUUUAUAAGGAAUAGAAGUUUAUUUGCCUCAUGUUUCUGGAGGCUGGGAAUUCCAAGAUCAAGGGGCUGCAUAGAUUGAGGUCCUUUUUGCUGACUCAUAACGUGGAAAGAGAGUGCACUGCAUAGAAGAAAGGAGGCCAAACUCAUUCUUUUAUCAUGAGCCUACUCCUGAAAUAACUCACUCUCAAGAUAAUGGCAUUAAUCCAUUCAUGAAGGCAGAAUACUCAUGAUGUAAUCACCUCUUAAAAGGUCCUAUUUCCUAACACUGUUGCAUUAGGGAUUAAGCUGUCAACACAUGAAUAUUGGGGGACACAUUCAAACCAUAGCAAGAGUUCUUUGUCUUUGUGACUCGGUGUGGUUCAGCAAAUUGCGAUUGGUCUGCUAUAGCGGACUUUCCCCUCACCUCCCAAAUGUUUAUUAUGAAAAAUUUCAUUUUAAAGAAAGGUGGAAGGAAUUGUUGAAAGAAUAUGUCAUCUAGUUUCUACUGUUGUUAACAUUGUGUCAUAUUUGCCUUUUCAUCCAUCCAACCACCCAUCCAUCUAGCUACCUUAUAAUUACUAUUAUUACUUAUUAUUACUAUUAUUUUUAAAGACACCUCUAUUAAAGCAACCAUCUUAUUUUUUGAUUUUAUUUAUUUUCAAAGUUAGUUGCAGACAUUAGUAUACUUUACUCCUAGACAUUUUAGCGUGAACAUAAUUAACUGGAGUAUAAUACUUGUUUUCAAUUUCUUUUUAUUUUUGAGGUAAAAUUUACAUACAGUGAAAUCCAAAUCUUAAGUGUACCACUAGAUAAAUUUUGAUAAAUGCAUUAUGCCUGGUCUUCACACACCCUUUUCAAUAUAUAGAAAAUUUCCAGAUAAUUUAUUUUGUUGUUUUUUUCACACACUAAGUUCUAGACUUUUCCAGGUCCGAGGGAACUAUUAGGGGGGAAAGUACUUGUUAUAGUAAAAAAGAUUUUAGGUGUGUUUGUUUUUAAGGUGCAGAAACACAUCGCAGAUUAAGGUCUGCAUCUCUGCUUUUUGUUAUUGUUCCAGUUUGAUCUCAGUGACAUUACAAGCAAGCAGAAACACUCAGACAUGAAAUGGCCAGUGCCUGUGAGUUAAGAGCAGGAUCUAGGUCUAUUUUUUUGAUAUGUAUCUCAACUACCUGGAAUACUUUAUACUUUUGGCACUCAAUAAAUAUUUGUUGCUGCCAGACGAUCUGCCACAAAAA